rnacentral:rRNA from 1 species
UUUGCCUUCGGGUGGGGAAUAACAGUCGGAAACGGCUGCUAAUACCGCAUAAUGCAGCGGCAUCAUAAGAUGACAGUUGUUAAAGCGGGGGAUCGUAAGACCUCGCGCCUGAAGAGAAGCCCGCGGCGGAUUAGGUAGUUGGUGAGGUAAUGGCUCACCAAGCCCGCGAUCCGUAACCGGCCUGAGAGGGCGGUCGGUCACACUGACACUGACAUACGGGUCAG